UACACUCCUGCGGGAGGCAGCAGUGGGGAAUUUUGGACAAUGGGCGAAAGCCUGAUCCAGCAAUGCCGCGUGUGUGAAGAAGGCCUUCGGGUUGUAAAGCACUUUUGUCCGGAAAGAAAUCCUUGGCUCUAAUACAGUCGGGGGAUGACGGUACCGGAAGAAUAAGCACCGGCUAACUACGUGCCAGCAGCCGCGGUAAUACGUAGGGUGCGAGCGUUAAUCGGAAUUACUGGGCGUAAAGCGUGCGCAGGCGGUUUGCUAAGACCGAUGUGAAAUCCCCGGGCUCAACCUGGGAACUGCAUUGGUGACUGGCAGGCUAGAGUAUGGCAGAGGGGGGUAGAAUUCCACGUGUAGCAGUGAAAUGCGUAGAGAUGUGGAGGAAUACCGAUGGCGAAGGCAGCCCCCUGGGCCAAUACUGACGCUCAUGCACGAAAGCGUGGGGAGCAAACAGGAUUAGAAACCCGAGUAGUCCCAUGAU
rnacentral:rRNA from 1 species